CAUAUAAACUCAUGACAUGAUCCUAUGAUCAGAUGAUUCUUGGUUUUGUUUCCAUGCUUUGGUCUCUUCAAUCUGUCCUUUUUCUUUCUGGGUUGUCUUCGUUUUCUCUCAUGGAUAUCAAAGUUUGCAGAUUUUUGAGAUUUCCUCCAUAUGUAUGCAUUAAGUGGCAGAGAAUACAUACAUACAUACGAGAUGAUGUUGCUUAAAGAUUAUCCAAGGUGAUUGGCACAAAUCUCUGCAAAUCCUGGGCUGGCAAAACAAAAAGAAAGGACACAAAGGGUUAAUGGAAGCCAGAUGUGAAACCAGGCAAUUGUGAUAAUGACACUCACCUUCCGUGUCACAUGCAAACUCGAAGAUGGUGGGCCUCUGUUUUGCACCACCCAUGAUUUCUAUUCCUCUUCCUCAUCAUGAUGUGGGAACAUUUGUUUUCAUUGCAAAUCACAAGUGAUGAUCAGGUCAGUCUUUUUUUUUUCCCUAGUAUUCUCCAUGCAAAUUUAUAUAUUAUAUGCUAAAUCCGUUGUGUUUUAAAUCAUUUU